AUGAAGACAUGGAGCCCAGAAGGAAUAAAAACUUCCUGUGGUCAAUGGAACUGGACCAUGUGGUGCUGGAGAGGCCAUCGCACUGACUGGCAAGAGAAGACCUGUUUCAUGGUGGUCCACAGAGCAAUUUCCCUGGCUUCACUCAAGGCUAACUCUCCUCCAGCAAAACACCCCUCUUCUCCUCCCACAGAUGAAGCAGGACCGCCUGCUGAAAACAAUGGAAGUUUGUUCUCUCAGAGUUCUGGUGGCCGGAAGUCUGAAAUCAAGUUGUUUGCAGUGCCAGCUCCUUCUGAAGCCUCUAGGGUAAGAUCCUGUCUUCCUUCUUCCAGCUGCUGGCGGUUGCUGGCAAUCUUUGGUGUUCCUUUGUUUACGGAAGCAUAA
rnacentral:lncRNA from 1 species